AGCAGCAGCCACGGUAAUACGAAGGGUGCAAGCGUUACUCGGAAUUACUGGGCGUAAAGCGUGCGUAGGUGGUGGUUUAAGUCCGUUGUGAAAGCCCUGGGCUCAACCUGGGAAUUGCAGUGGAUACUGGGUCACUAGAGUGUGGUAGAGGAUAGUGGAAUUUCCGGUGUAGCAGUGAAAUGCGUAGAGAUCGGAAGGAACAUCUGUGGCGAAGGCGACUAUCUGGGCCAACACUGACACUGAGGCACGAAAGCGUGGGGAGCAAACAGGAUUAGAGACCCCCGUAGUCCCUGUCUCUUAUAA
rnacentral:rRNA from 1 species